AACGAACGCUGGCGGCAGGCCUAACACAUGCAAGUCGAGCGAAGCCUUCGGGCUUAGCGGCGGACGGGUGAGUAACGCGCGGGAACGUGCCCUUUGGUACGGAAUAGCCCCGGGAAACUGGGAGUAAUACCGUAUGUGGUCGAGAGACGAAAGAUUUAUCGCCAAAGGAUCGGCCCGCGUUGGAUUAGGUAGUUGGUGGGGUAAUGGCCUACCAAGCCGACGAUCCAUAGCUGGUUUGAGAGGAUGAUCAGCCACACUGGGACUGAGACACGGCCCAGACUCCUACGGGAGGCAGCAGUGGGGAAUCUUAGACAAUGGGGGAAACCCUGAUCUAGCCAUGCCGCGUGAUCGAUGAAGGCCUUAGGGUUGUAAAGAUCUUUCAGUGGGGAAGAUAAUGACUGUACCCACAGAAGAAGCCCCGGCUAACUCCGUGCCAGCAGCCGCCGUAAUAC
rnacentral:rRNA from 1 species